rnacentral:rRNA from 1 species
GACGAACGCCGGCGGCGUGCUUAACACAUGCAAGUCGAGCGGUAAGGCCCUUUCGGGGGUACGACGAGCGGCGAACGGGUGAGUAACACGUGGGUGACCUGCCCUCAGCUCUGGGAUAAGCCUGGGAAACCGGGUCUAAUACUGGAUAUGACUCCAUGACGCAUGUUGUGGGGUGGAAAGCCUUGUGCGGCUGAGGAUGGGCCCGCGGCCUAUCAGCUUGUUGGUGGGGUGAUGGCCUACCAAGGCGACGACGGGUAGCCGGCCUGAGAGGGCGACCGGCCACACUGGGACUGAGACACGGCCCAGACUCCUACGGGAGGCAGCAGUGGGGAAUCUUGCGCAAUGGGCGAAAGCCUGACGCAGCGACGCCGCGUGAGGGAUGACGGCCUGGUGUAA